CUACCAUGCAAGUCGAACGAUGAUGCCCAGCUUGCUGGGUGGAUUAGUGGCGAACGGGUGAGUAACACGUGAGUAACCUGCCCCUGACUCUGGGAUAAGCGUUGGAAACGACGUCUAAUACUGGAUAUGAUCACUGGCCGCAUGGUCUGGUGGUGGAAAGAUUUUUUGGUUGGGGAUGGACUCGCGGCCUAUCAGCUUGUUGGUGAGGUAAUGGCUCACCAAGGCGACGACGGGUAGCCGGCCUGAGAGGGUGACCGGCCACACUGGGACUGAGACACGGCCCAGACUCCUACGGGAGGCAGCAGUGGGGAAUAUUGCACAAUGGGCGAAAGCCUGAUGCAGCAACGCCGCGUGAGGGAUGACGGCCUUCGGGUUGUAAACCUCUUUUAGUAGGGAAGAAGCGAAAGUGACGGUACCUGCAGAAAAAGCACCGGCUAACUACGUGCCAGCAGCCGCGGUAAUACGUAGGGUGCAAGCGUUGUCCGGAAUUAUUGGGCGUAAAGAGCUCGUAGGCGGUUUGUCGCGUCUGCUGUGAAAUCCCGAGGCUCAACCUCGGGCUUGCAGUGGGUACGGGCAGACUAGAGUGCGGUAGGGGAGAUUGGAAUUCCUGGUGUAGCGGUGGAAUGCGCAGAUAUCAGGAGGAACACCGAUGGCGAAGGCAGAUCUCUGGGCCGUAACUGACGCUGAGGAGCGAAAGCAUGGGGAGCGAACAGGAUUAGAUACCCUGGUAGUCCAUGCCGUAAACGUUGGGCGCUAGAUGUAGGGACCUUUCCACGGUUUCUGUGUCGUAGCUAACGCAUUAAGCGCCCCGCCUGGGGAGUACGGCCGCAAGGCUAAAACUCA
rnacentral:rRNA from 1 species